AGCAGUUUGUGCUCACAGAUGGUGACGGUGUGGAGAGACGGUGGUGUUUCCUCAGAAGAACCAGCAGAGUCACAAAGGACACCAGUCCAUCUCACAGCCUUGACUUGCUGACUGAUGUUCGUCUGCACUGCACAGAGGAAAUCAACUGACCGAGGAGUGUUUCUGAGUGAGGGGGAGAGGAGUCAUCAUCCAGGUAAAGUGACGUGGAUCAGUGGAUACACUUGUCUCCCCUUUAAAGGAGACGAUCCAAGUCAUCCUUAAAUAUGGGCAGGAUAUCAGUCUUGGACUGUCUAACCUGCCGGAGCAGCACUGAAUGACCACCGCACAUGAGCAUGUUCCUGCAACAUUCAGCAUCUGAUCCUUCAUCUGUGUGCUUCUGCUUUUGUGUCACAUGUCAAACAGCUGGAGAGGAAACUACACCAGUGUACUGAGAUGUUUCACCAACACGUGCCAGAUGCUGUUCCUUCAUGGUGACAUCACCAGAGACAGCCCCACCCACCUCA